UACGGGGGGAGCAAGCGUUGUUCGGAUUUACUGGGCGUAAAGGGCGCGUAGGCGGCGCGACAAGUCACUUGUGAAAUCUCCGGGCUUAACCCGGAGCGGCCAAGUGAUACUGUAGUGCUAGAGUGCGGAAGGGGCUACUGGAAUUCUCGGUGUAGCGGUGAAAUGCGUAGAUAUCGAGAGGAACACCUGCGGCGAAGGCGGGUAGCUGGGCCGACACUGACGCUGAGGCGCGAAAGCCAGGGGAGCAAACGGG
rnacentral:rRNA from 1 species